rnacentral:rRNA from 1 species
UUGCCAGCAUUCGAUUGGGCACGUCUAAAGGUGACUGCCGGCUAAAAAGUCGGAGGAAGGUGGGGAUGACGUCAAAUCAUCAUGCCCCUUAUGACCUGGGCUACACACGUGCUACAAUGGGCGGUACAAAGGGUCGCGAACCCGCGAGGGGGAGCCAAUCCCAAAAAAGCCGCUCUCAGUUCGGAUUGCAGGCUGCAACUCGCCUGCAUGAAGCCGGAAUCGCUAGUAAUCGCGGAUCAGCAUGCCGCGGUGAAUACGUUCCCGGGCCUU